rnacentral:lncRNA from 1 species
AGGCGCAUGGCUCCAUGAAGCAAGAGGAGGAGGCAGAGCGCGAGAGGUCCCGUCCGCCCCAGCCGCGUCUGGGCCAGGAUAAAAGCAAAACCAUAUUCCUGCUGCUGUCAGUUAUGAUGCACUGAGAAAACUUCAGAGACCUAAACUUUUUCCAGAGAAGAGAAGCUUUACUGGUGUUCCAGCCCUAAGAAACCUUUGUUCAAGAAAACGGCAGAUGCUCUGUUGAAUCCACUGGAGAUUGUUCUGAUACUAAGGACAACAACCAUCUUUCCUGUGAAAAAUUCCCUCUCGUACUUUAGUUCUGUGGAUCCAAAAUUUAUAGCAUUCUUCUACCACCACAGGGGCUCAUAUGACAUUAACAGACAAGACACUUUUCAGAAAGACAGGCAACGUGUUGGACCUUCCGGAGCUUCUCAGAAGACAGAGGGUUUUCUUUUGAGGAUUUAAACCUCAGACACAGGGAGCUGACCUAUUCACCUUAGAAUCCUCUGGGGCACCCAUUACAGUGUCUGUACCAAGGAGGCAACAAAGAACGGCGGAACAGACUGGAGCAGAAGGACCACCCAGCAGAGCCAAGCCAAAUCACUGACCCUCAGAGGCCUGAUGUGAAUGCUUAUGGCUUCAGUCCAUUGGAUUCUGCAGUAAUCUGCCGAUCUACAGUAUUACCACAGUAAAUAACCGAUAGACCUGAAAACGAAUGCAUGCCUUGUGCCAAAAUUGCAGGAAACCUCACCAGGAGAAACAAUUUUAUAUGAGGGAAUGUACUCUCUCCUUUGCAUUUUCCCUCAAAUCUAUAUUUUUAGCCCCUCACUUGUCUCUACAGAGCCUCAGUUGCUUAAUCUAAUUGCUGACUGAACAUCUCCAGGAAACUGUGUGUACGUGUUUGUAUUCAUAGUAUAUUUAUUUAUUAUCUGUUUACUUCCAUGGGAUAUAGUCUCCAUAAGAGAGUAGUCAUCAUUGUAUUUGUUGAUGCUUAAUAAAUAAUCAUUGAAU